CGUUUUCUUAAACGGGCCUCAUCAUAGAAAGACAUGAAUCUUGGGAAACAGCUUCAGAAAAAUCUUUGCGAGCUUUUGAUGCUGCCUGGUGGUGGUGCUUCCUGGUGGAGGAGUUUGGCGGAGGCAGGGAUUCAAAGCGAUCCCUCAGGGUCGCGCUUCCCAGUUGUUUAUGGGUCUCCUGAGAGCAACGGUUCUCACACUGGCCAGUUUCUCUAAAGAGGCAAGUGUUCUCCGAGCCCAUCCUGAUGACAUAGAUUUCGGGCCACCCCAGUUCUGCAGAAUGCACGUCUCGAGGGAGAAGUCUGGAAAUCUGCACUGCCACACUGUUCGCCACUCCGUUUACAGGCAGGCUUG
ensembl:lincRNA Gm29458 predicted gene 29458